rnacentral:rRNA from 1 species
GAUGAACGCUGGCGGCGUGCCUAAUACAUGCAAGUCGAGCGAACGGACGAGAAGCUUGCUUCUCUGAUGUUAGCGGCGGACGGGUGAGUAACACGUGGAUAACCUACCUAUAAGACUGGGAUAACUUCGGGAAACCGGAGCUAAUACCGGAUAAUAUUUUGAACCGCAUGGUUCAAAAGUGAAAGACGGUCUUGCUGUCACUUAUAGAUGGAUCCGCGCUGCAUUAGCUAGUUGGUAAGGUAACGGCUUACCAAGGCAACGAUGCAUAGCCGACCUGAGAGGGUGAUCGGCCACACUGGAACUGAGACACGGUCCAGACUCCUACGGGAGGCAACAGUAGGGAAUCUUCCGCAAUGGGCGAAAGCCUGACGGAGCAACGCCGCGUGAGUGAUGAAGGUCCUCGGAUCGUAAAACUCUGUUAUUAGGGAAGAACAUAUGUGUAAGUAACUGUGCACAUCUUGACGGUACCUAAUCAGAAAGCCACGGCUAACUACGUG